UACGUAGGUGGCAAGCGUUGUCCGGAUUUAUUGGGCGUAAAGGGAGCGCAGGUGGUUUCUUAAGUCUGAUGUGAAAGCCCACGGCUUAACCGUGGAGGGUCAUUGGAAACUGGGGAACUUGAGUGCAGAAGAGGAAAGUGGAAUUCCAAGUGUAGCGGUGGAAUGCGUAGAUAUUUGGAGGAACACCAGUGGCGAAGGCGAUUCUCUGGACUGUAACUGACGCUGAGGCUCGAAAGCGUGGGGAGCAAACAGGAUUAGAUACCCUGGUAGUCCCU
rnacentral:rRNA from 1 species